GCCAGGGCAGGAAGAGAGCAGCCGGCAUCGAAC
rnacentral:SRP_RNA from 14 species